GCGGCGAUUGGGCACAUUAAAUUUUUACUGAUUGUUGCUGAAUCGGUAACAGUCUGUUCCAGGGAAACAGCUGGAAUCAGACUGAACUGGCAGACACUGCACGUGUUCUACAGAGAAGAAAGAGGAUGAUGGUAAAGCAGACUGCAGUCUUCAGGCCUGGAGCAGAGAAGGGAGAGUUCCUGCUCUAGCCAGUCCUGCCAGGGUUCUGGCUGUGCCGGGACAGUGAAUGGCCACUCCGUCCCAGAUGAGCUGCAGGAAGCGUUUCGAUGUCAUGUGGAGGUGAUGGCGAUUUUCAACUCAUUCCCGUUACAAACAGCCGACCUUCCUACCGAGUUCAAGUACCUUCUGCCUGGCCUGGAAGAACAAUAUCUCUCUGUCUCCCUCUUCCACUGGCCCUCACCUGCCUUCCCCUGAACAUGCAUUUUGCCUGA
rnacentral:lncRNA from 1 species